rnacentral:lncRNA from 1 species
CUAAAUGCACUGUUGCCAUUCCCCUCCCCUCUCGGUGCAUUGUAAUUCCCCUCUCCUCUCAUUCCCCUCCUCUCAAUAAUUCAUUCCCCAUUUCCCAUUUCCCUAACCGGUUUUAUAAUUCCAACAUUGUAAUUCCCAUUUCCCAUUAUAAUUCCCCUCCCCUCUCUCGGUCUCCCCAUUCCCCUCUCCCUCUCUGUCUUAUAAUUGGUUCCCCCAAUUCCCCUGUUAUCUUUUCCUAUUGCCCCAGGCACCAAUACUGCGCCGCUUCCUUUUAUUCUGCAUCGGCGCCCAAGCAUUGGACCAAGGGCUUUCAAAAUGAACUACUUGGCUCGGUUUCCUUCCCCCGCUUAAUCGAAAUCUCCUUCACUCACAACAGAAGGCCAAAGCAAUCCCAACAAAGAAAGAUGCAGAGUGCUGUCAUACCCCUUCCCUUGAGGACCUUGGGUGUACGGUGGUCGGAUCCGGGGACAGGGAGAGGCUGCUUCACAGUAAAGUUCACAGAAAUCUCCCCCCCCGAUUUGGCCUCUCGCUGUUCACAUAAAUGGCGUCCCUUCUCUGUUCAAAAAAAUGAUUCCUCCCUGUUUUGCCUAUGUCACAGUAAUUCCCCCCCCCCACCGGUCUCUGUUUGGAUUCCCCUCUUGUUAAGGUUAGAUGAUGUUGCCGAUUGUGAUUGAUGAAGAAAAAAUGUGUUUUUUAUGGGUUGAUUGAUUAAUUUUUGGUUAGUUUUAGCUGUAGCAUUUGACGAGAUUUGAUGAAGAGGAAAACUGUUCUGUGUUGAAAAUUAUAUGGGAAAAAUAUCCCAGGCAACAAAUUUAUCCCAGGCAGCAGAUUUAUCCAAAAGAAUAUU